AACGUAGGAGACGAACGUUAUCCGGAGUUACUGGGCGUAAAGGGCGUGUAGGCGGUUUGUUAAGUCUGGCGUGAAAGCUCUCGGCUAAACCGGGAGAGGUCGUUUGGAUACUGGCGAACUCGAGGAUGGUAGAGGCGUGUGGAAUUCCGGGUGUAGUGGUGAAAUGCGUAGAGAUCCGGAGGAACACCAGUGGCGAAGGCGACACGCUGGGCCAUACCUGACGCUAAAGCGCGACAGCAUGGGGAGCAAACGGG
rnacentral:rRNA from 1 species